UUGAAUAAAAUUUUAUACGAGCAUCCAGCAAACUAGCUGUAUAAAUAAACAUAUGAGUGAAACCUUUUCCUACUUUUAGUGCUUCACUUCUUUGCUUUUGCAAAUCUCAGACAACGAUACUUCUCCCCACUAACUGUUAUUUCAAGAGCUCCAUCUUGGUUAUCUUGAUUUGAUGCAGUCCCCAUUAGCACACUUUUCUCUUUCUCAAGGUUUUCCCUCUCCAUCUUUAACCGGGCUUCUUGCCGAGCAAUUUCUGCCUGGGAUCAAAACUGAGGCAUGUUACAAAUCCUCAAGGGAACAUCAUUUAUCAGAAAGGUAGAAAUUUUAGAUACUACAGCUCAUAUUUGCAACUGUUACAAAAGCUAAAACAACACAAGACUGACCAUAUAUUUCCUUCUUCGACUAAUGUAUGUUUCUGCACUGAACUUUAAACUCAUAUAAAUAGAUAGACCACCUUUCUAGGGAACUUGGAGCCUCUAAUUCCAUAUUUGAGAUCUAUAGGUGACACAGGGCAAGUAAAAAUAACUAUUGUCGGAACAGCUUACCAGUAGAAGUAGUAAGCAAAAUGUAAUAGUUAUCUUAAUUGCGAAAACGUCAGCAUUUACACAUCUCUCAGUUCCCGUUAUUCCAAAAAUAAUCUAUUAUUGCUAUAUUUGGAAGUCAAUAGUUGGCAAAAGCUACAUGACAUAACAUUCAAAUUGUUGCAUCCAAUCAGAAUGUGGGAUUCUUUUAAGCUUCAGAAACGGUCACUGCUAAAUAGCACACAAAAUCACUACUGAUAAAGAUCCGUCCACUAUAAAACUUGACGAACAGAAGGCAUUUUUGGGCAGGUUAAUUUUGAAAUAAAAUAUAGUGGAAUGGCUAGAGGACAGUUACGCAGCAAGCAAUUCAAUUUUCAUAACUGUCUUCAUGUCAAAAAGAUGUGGGGCUGGAAGGUAUGGUUUUCAAGAGGAAGUAUAGUCUUUUAAAUGGGAAACCUGAAUAGCCAUUCAAUUUUACACUCAAAUAGUAGUAAAGCAGCAACAACAAACACAUUGAUUUCAUACACGACAAUUUCAAGUUCUAAUAUAUGCGGCUCCAAAGGCUGAGUCUUCUUUUAAGUUUUAAACAUGUCAAAGGAGGCUCCACGGUCACAUAUUACAGUAUCAUGCAUUACUUUAAGUUUCCAUAUGAGAUGCAGACUCAGAAGGCCUUUAAUAUGGUUACAAAUAAGAUAAUGACCUGUAAUAUGAAGAGGCACAUCUGAUACCUUAAUAGCCUCUACAGUACCACAAAUCUGCCAACCCUAUUUAAUCACUUGAAUAAUAGCAUAUACAGGAAUGCCUAGAGCAAGCUAGAAUUGUAAAAUUUCUAUCUGACAGCUCCAUCACGAUAAUCUUGUAAAUUAUUAGAUUGAUUCAAAGCUACUAUAGAUUGCGUACACAUAUAAGUGAGAGAAGGCAUUUUUCUAGAGUUCUGGAAGUCCUAGAGUCUGAAGGCCAUUGUGUGCAAGUGCAGGAUAUGUAUUUCUUGUGAGGGGAUACAUCUAUGGGAGGCUAGCUGAAUCAUUUCUAUCUUAUUGAGUUCCUACGGCUAGUAAUUUUAACUAGAACUUCUGCAGAGUUACUGCUGAAUGUGUGAAGCACCUGUUCUUUUACAGAUAAAAACCAAGGAGUCAACUUGCAUUUCCACAAAAUAAAAUUAUUGAGAAAAAAUUUCUGAUUCAACUCCAGGAGUUAAUAUGUUAGCUACUAUAUUUGACAUGCCAAUCAGCUGUCCUUUAUGAUAGAAAGAUUUACUACAACGCUAGCAGAAAUUCUACAACCUUAGUAUGCACGGACUAAUUAUUGCGAAAAAUCCUACUGGCUGGUGUUUAACAAUAAGAUCAACCUUAGACUACACAGAUUCUGUUAAUUCAUUUUAGAAACAAAACAUGUUGCUGAGACCCUGGUAAGUAAAUAUAAACCCUCAGUUAAAUAGAUAAUCUAUGAUACCAAAUGACCAGAGGUAAAAUUGAGCAAGGGCUAUUCUCUGAUUUAUGUUGAUAUUUGUUAUUCUUAUCCAAUGCUUGUAAGUUUGUAACAAGGAUGCUUUAACCAUAUUAGGAGAGUGUAAACCUGGUUGGCUAGCACGGGUAGUAGGUUGCUUAGCCAACCUUUUAAACCACAUGAAAUUCCCAGAAAACUGGCUUUGCAUAUUCACAUUAAGAGGUGGACAAGUAUCCUUUUAACACGAUGGAGUAAAUUUGUCAUUUCAUUUCAUUCAUUCCAUUGAAGGGUCUACCACUCUACUAUAAAUAAAUGAAAAUCUCACUUAUGAAUUAAAGAAAAACAAUAAAUGCUACAUGUCCUGUACUAUGUCCCUCCAGCGUUAGUUAUACAUUUUUCUAAAGCAUAAUAUGAAAGGUAUUAUAAACUAAUCAAUAUAUUCCAUUCAAUCAACCGAUCAUCAAGAGAUCAACAAUGCCUCAAUCCUAAACUAGUAGGAUUAGAUAAAUGAACAUUAUGUGUCUAUUCUACUCUAUCGGGCUUAUUCCAUUCCAAUACUAGUAAGUACUGUGUUUUCAGGCAAAUCGAAAUUUCUCUAAAACUAGAGGUUCUCUUAUUUGUACUUGAACAAUACUAGUACACGUCUCCAGACAAACUACAAAGACAUUUGACAAACAUCUGAUCUGAUGUAAGUACAACAACAACUAAGAAUUAGUCUCAAGUAGUUGGUACAGUCUAUGUGAGUCCUUUGUUCCAUUAUGUUCUAUUAAUAAUAAGUCUGCAUUAUUUGGAUAAACUAUAGGUCUUUUAAAUUAACUUUUCUCCAUGUGAUUUUAAAACUAAAUCAUCCCCAUUAAGCACAUAUUGGACUUCAUAGGAGUUAGGACAGGGCGAAACCUACUCAUCCUAUACUGUGUUCCUUCUAUUUUAGUAAUCAAAAUAAAGGAAAAAAUGUUCUCCAUUUUUCCAAGCACACUUUGAAGUUCAAGAUAAUCUAAAGUAGCACCUCAUACUUUAGACAGAGUCCCACGUCGGCAAAAUACAAGAGAGAUGGUGGGUAUAUAAGUUAACAAGCCUUAGACCCUAGUGACGCGUUUUAAACCCAUGAAGGCCUAGGCCUAAAGCGGACAAUAUCACUAACGGGCUGGAUUGUUACAAAUGGUAUCAGAGCCAACUCUUGUGUCAGCCUUGUCGAUGGUGGGUCAGAGUUCAACUUAGUUUAGGCAAAUCCCGGUUAGCUGGGGCAAACCUCAGUGCUGAGUCUAGGCGAAUCCCAGGGUAUGUAACACCCCAUACUUUAGACAGAGUCUCACAUAGCACCCCACACUUUAGACAGAGACUCGGCAAAACACAAGAGGGAUACUGGGUAUAUAAGUUAACAAGUCUUAGACCCUAGUGACGCAUUUUAACCUGUGAGGUCCUAGGCCUAGAACGAACAAUAUCACUAGCGGGCUGGGCUGUUACGUCUAACAAAUGUAUUCACAAAAAUUACUACACUUGCAAUCAGCAGCUAACUUUGAGUAAUUCAGUCAAUUCUACAAAAUGGAAUCUUUAAAAGAUAAUCAUACUAAAUACCCCAUUUGCAAUUUUUCUGUAUAUUUUGAGAAAUUCACUCAAACCCAAUUCAAGAAACACCAAAAUAAGUUCAAAAAACUAAGCUUUUCAAAGAAAGAAUGGAUUUGUCUUUGUGGUGGGGGGGGGGGGGGGUUACCGUCACGACGAGAGAGCUCAGCUUUCCAAGCAGCUUCACGCUCAGCAACUUCACGUUCACGCUCCUNN
rnacentral:lncRNA from 1 species